rnacentral:rRNA from 1 species
GACAGAGGAUGCAAGCGUUAUCCGGAAUGAUUGGGCGUAAAGCGUCUGUAGGUGGCUUUUAAGUCCGCCGUCAAUCCCAGGCUCAACCCUGGACAGGCGGUGGAAACUACCAAGCUGGAGUACGGUAGGGCAGAGGGAAUUUCCGGUGGAGCGGGUGAAUGCGUAGAGAUCGGAAAGAACACCAACGGCGAAAGCACUCUGCUGGGCCGACACUGACACUGAGAGACGAAAGCUAGGGGAGCGAAUGGG